GAUGAAGAACGUAGCGAAAUGCGAUAAGUAGUGUGAAUUGCAGAAUUCAGUGAAUCAUCGAAUCUUUGAACGCACAUUGCGCCCCUUGGUACUCCAUGGGGCAUGCCUGUUCGAGCGUCAUUUACACCCUCAAGCUCAGCUUGGUGUUGGGCGUCUGUCCCGCUUCGUGCGCGGACUCGCCUCAAAUGCAUUGGCAGCGGUCUUGCCAGCUUCUCGUGCAGCACAUUGCGCUUCUAGAGGCUUUGGCGGAUCGGCGUCCAUCAAGUACACCCACAGUUUGACCUCGGAUCAGGUAGGGAUACCCGCUGAACUUAAGCAUAUCAAUAAGCGGAGGA
rnacentral:misc_RNA from 1 species